UGUUUGCAAAUGAAGUUGGCUAGUGCUAC
rnacentral:piRNA from 1 species